CCCCGUGACGGCGGCCCACGCGCCUGCCCCGACCCCGACCCCGACGGCACCUGCACCGUCGCCCGCAGUUCCAGCCCUUCAUCCGCCAACGCCGACGCCGACGCCCGGUACGUGCGCCACACUGUCACGAUACGAAUACGAUGCUGCAACACUUCUUUUUUCCCGUGCGCGGCGCGGUGCACCACGUACGAUAGAUUCUGUCGAUUGGGCUCAUGUGUUGCUACAGUUUUGGCCCAAGAUGACCCAUCUAGUUCAUUCACUUUCGUCUUUGCAAUUUUCUAAGGCCUUGUUUAGUUUCCGAAAAAUUUUGCAAAAUUUUUCAGAUUCCCCGUCACAUCAAAUCUUUAGACGCAUGUAUAGAAUAUUAAAUAUAGACGAAAAUAAAAACUAAUUGCACAGUUUGGUCAGAGUUGACGAGACGAAUCUUUUGAGCCCAGUUAGUUCAAGAUUGGAUAAUAUUUGCCAAAUACAAACAAAAGUGCUACUAUUCUUAUUUCUAACCCUUCCUUCCACUGCUGGAUCUACUAUCUGCAGCUCCAAUGGCUGACCCACCCGUGACACCAUCUCCUGAGCCGCCAGGUACGCCGUGUUUUUUUGAUGAAAACCCCUGUUUGCAUCUCUCAAAACUAGCAUGGCAACCAGCAGCAGCGAUCUAGACUAACGCGCUGCACCAUCGUGUCUUGCGGUUGCAGUUCCAGCUCCGGUGCUCCCGCUAACGACUGGCCCAGCUCCGGCGCCGGCAACCACGCUGCCAUCCGGGCAGGGCUCUGCGACGCCCACAAACACGAUUGCUUCCGGUGCCGCCGGUCUCGCUGCUUCGACGGGAGUCCUGCUGUUAUCCGCCGUAGCCGCCAUCGCUCUAUGAUCCAUUUGGAUGCAAUAUCAACGUCCGAAAUUAGCUGGGGUUUAUUUUCUCGUCUCGAUUCGUCGUCAUUAGUUGUUGCUACAAUGGAUGUACAAUUGCACCGCUUUGUCCUGCAGCUGGUAGAUUAUUCAUUUGAACGCUACGGAACACGCUAGAUUGUGAACACCUUUCAGUUUUUUCUUCCUCGCCGUGACAUUCGAAUUGCUUCAAUCACAAUAGUAACUAGGUGAAUUCUCCGCGCGUUGCUGCGGGAUUUUCUUAAAAAUAAUUCAUUAUAU
rnacentral:lncRNA from 1 species